rnacentral:lncRNA from 1 species
AGCUGUUAACACAAACCACGUAGCGUUACGUUCUCAAAAUCUCCAUUUUCUGCCGGAAUUAAUUUCUCAUUUACUAAUGUUAUCAUUGCAGCAGUGUCCACAAUCAUGCUCACAUUCUGGUCAUGUAUAGUACCUCGUACUGCUAAGCUCUUUCAAAUGGUUCGUCUGAUGACAAUAUCGGACGAGGACGUGGGCCUCUGUUCGAUUUUGUGAUGAGGUGAUGUUUCAUGGCCAAUAGACUUUGGAAUCGUGCGUUGGCCUACUGGCCCGACCCUUUGCUGUUUAA